UACAGAGGGUGCGAGCGUUGUUCGGAAUUAUUGGGCGUAAAGGGCGCGUAGGCGGUGCGGUAAGUCACCUGUGAAAAUCUCCCCGGGCUCAACCGGGGAGCUUGCAGGCGAAACUGCCGUGCUGGAGUGUGGGAGAGGUGCGUGGAAUUCCCGGUGUAGCGGUGAAAUGCGUAGAUAUCGGGGAGGAACACCUGUGGCGAAAGCGGCGCACUGGACCACAACUGACGCUGAGGCGCGAAAGCUAGGGGAGCAAACAGG
rnacentral:rRNA from 1 species